GACGAACGCUGGCGGCGUGCUUAACACAUGCAAGUCGAACGGAAAGGCCCAGCUUGCUGGGUACUCGAGUGGCGAACGGGUGAGUAACACGUGGGUGAUCUGCCCUGGACUCUGGGAUAAGCCUGGGAAACUGGGUCUAAUACCGGAUAUGACCUUACAUCGCAUGGUGUUUGGUGGAAAGCUUUUGCGGUUCAGGAUGGGCCCGCGGCCUAUCAGCUUGUUGGUGGGGUAAUGGCCUACCAAGGCGACGACGGGUAGCCGACCUGAGAGGGUGAUCGGCCACACUGGGACUGAGACACGGCCCAGACUCCUACGGGAGGCAGCAGCGGGGAAUAUUGCACAAUGGGCGCAAGCCUGAUGCAGCGACGCCGCGUGAGGGAUGACGGCCUUCGGGUUGUAAACCUCUUUCACCAGGGACGAAGCGUGAGUGACGGUACCUGGAGAAGAAGCACCGGCCAACUACGUG
rnacentral:rRNA from 1 species